GUACACGCUGUGACUAGCAUAUCAAUAAGCGGAGGAAAAGAAACUAACAAGGAUUCCCCUAGUAACGGCGAGUGAAGCGGGAAGAGCUCAAAUUUGAAAUCUUAAAGGGUUUCCCUUUACGAAUUGUAGUUUAAAGAAGUGUUUUCUGUUGAGGUUUUGGUAAAAGUUCUUUGGAAUAGGACAUCAUAGAGGGUGAGAAUCCCGUAUUUGACCUUUACUUUCAACUUUGUGAUACACUUUCAAAGAGUCGGAUUGUUUGGGAAUGCAGUCCAAAAUGGGUGGUAAAUUUCAUCUAAAGCUAAAUAUUGGCGAGAGACCGAUAGCGAACAAGUACCGUGAGGGAAAGAUGAAAAGAACUUUGAAAAGAGAGUUAAACAGUACGUGAAAUUGUCAAAAGGGAAGCGUUUGACACCAGUGUUGUUUUUCUGAAAAUCAAUUAAAGUACUGUUUAUGCUAAGCUGUUUAGACUUUAUCAGCUAUCUGUUUAGUUUUGAGCUUUUCUUUAAUGCACUUUUCAGUUAACAAGUCAACAUCAAUUUCUUUUGCUGUAAAAAAGCUUGAGGAAGGUGGCUUGAGAUUCGUCUUAAGUGUUUAUAGCCUCUUGCCUAUGCAGUCGGAGAGAUUGAGGUCUGCAGCGUAGAUCCUUCGGGGCUAAAUGCAUUUGUGCUAAGUUAUAGCAUUUUAUAGACAACUUGUUGACUAUGAUUUGUCUUGUAGCUUACUCGCUUAUGUUAUUUUACCUACGCUUAGGAUGUUGAGUCGUAGAGCACGCAG
rnacentral:rRNA from 1 species